AUUUUGAUUUCUAACUAUGUUUUAGAAUUUUUAUUAUUUUGUAUCGUAAAGUGUAUUAAAGACCAACUGAAUUUGUAAUUAUAUUUUAGAUCCAUCUUUGUCUGAUACUACAAUUCAUAAAAAUGUUGGUGAGGGUACUAACCUAGGGAUAACUGAAGAACUUCAAAGGAACAGAGAGUUUUACAAGAUUUCUGAAGACAAACCACCCUUUACCUAUGCAUCAUUAAUAGGACAGGCUAUAUAUGAAUCUCCAGACAAGCAGCUUACACUUAAUGACAUCUACAACUGGUUUAUUAGCUCCUUUGGUUAUUUCAAGCCAAAUGAUGCAAAGUGGAAGGUAUGAAGU
rnacentral:sRNA from 1 species